UCGAGAAUUUUUCUCAAUGGGGGAAACCCUGAAGGAGCGACGCCGCGUGGAGGAUGAAGGCCUUCGGGUUGUAAACUCCUGUCAUUUGGGAACAAACCUUUCAUUUAACUAGUGAAAGACUGAUAGUACCAGAAGAGGAAGAGACGGCUAACUCUGUGCCAGCAGCCGCGGUAAUACAGAGGUCUCAACCGUUGUUCGGAUUCAUUGGGCGUAAAGGGUGCGUAGGCGGUCGUGCAAGUCGGAUGUGAAAUCUCAGGGCUCAACCCUGAAACUGCAUUCGAUACUGCGUGGCUAGAGUGCUGGAGAGGAGACUGGAAUUUACGGUGUAGCAGUGAAAUGCGUAGAUAUCGUAAGGAAGACCAGUGGCGAAGGCGAGUCUCUGGACAGCAACUGACGCUGAGGCACGAAGGCCAGGGGAGCAAACGG
rnacentral:rRNA from 1 species